CCUACGGGGGGCAGCAGUGGGGAAUAUUGGACAAUGGGGGGAACCCUGAUCCAGCCAUGCCGCGUGUGUGAAGAAGGCCCUCGGGUUGUAAAGCACUUUCAGUGAGGAAGAACGCCUGGUGGUUAAUACCCAUCAGGAAAGACAUCACUCACAGAAGAAGCACCGGCUAACUCCGUGCCAGCAGCCGCGGUAAUACGGAGGGUGCGAGCGUUAAUCGGAAUUACUGGGCGUAAAGCGCGCGUAGGUGGCUUGAUAAGCCGGUUGUGAAAGCCCCGGGCUCAACCUGGGAACGGCAUCCGGAACUGUCAAGCUAGAGUGCAGGAGAGGAAGGUAGAAUUCCCGGUGUAGCGGUGAAAUGCGUAGAGAUCGGGAGGAAUACCAGUGGCGAAGGCGGCUUUCUGGACUGACACUGACACUGAGGUGCGAAAGCGUGGGUAGCAAACAGGAUUAGAUACCCUUGUAGUC
rnacentral:rRNA from 1 species